rnacentral:misc_RNA from 1 species
UACGUAGGGGGCUAGCGUUGUCCGGAAUCAUUGGGCGUAAAGCGCGUGUAGGCGGCACGAUAAGUCCGCUCUGAAAGCCCGGGGCUCAACCCCGGGAGGCGGGUGGAUACUGUCGGGCUCGAGUCCGGAAGAGGCAAGUGGAAUUCCCGGUGUAGCGGUGAAAUGCGCAGAUAUCGGGAGGAACACCAAUGGCGAAGGCAGCUUGCUGGGACGGUACUGACGCUGAGACGCGAAAGCGUGGGGAACAAACAGG